AAGGUGGCUUAUGCAACGGCCAUGGACUGGUUUAUUGCAGUGUGCUAUGCCUUC
rfam:Rattus norvegicus GABA-A receptor alpha1 subunit mRNA, complete cds.